AUGGAAUCUCUCCCCGUCCCGAGCGUGCAGGCCAUGGUGGCGGCCACCGGCGGAGCCGAUGUGCCACCGAGGUAUCUCCGGCCUGCGGAGGCGGUCACCGGCAUCGUCGACGGCGAGGGUGAGGCCCAGAUCCCCAUCAUCGACUACCGGAGGCUGCUGCUGGAGCUGGAUCCCCGCGGCGAGGAGUCCGCGCGCCUCCACAGCGCCUGCCAGGAAUGGGGCUUCUUCCAGCUGGUUAACCACAGUGUCCCGGCCGAUGUGGUGGAGGGAAUGAAGGCCAACAUUCAGCAAUUCUUUCAGCUACCCGCAGAGACAAAGAAACGAUUCGCGCAGGAGCGAGGGCAGCUGGAAGGCUACGGUCAGCUGUUCGUCGUCUCGGAGGAUCAGAAGCUUGACUGGGCCGAUAUGCUUUACCUGUACACACAGCCACCUGAGAGCAGGAACACCAAGUUCUGGCCUGACCAGCCUGUUAACUUCAGAUCGACGCUGGAUAGAUACUCUGGUGCUGUGAAGGAGAUAGCGGAUUCCCUUUUGGCGACGAUGGCGGAGAACUUGGGACUGAAACAAGAGGUGAUUGCUGACAGAUGCGUGGGCGGAGUGCAGUCUGUCAGGAUGAACUACUACCCGCCGUGCGCUCAAGCAGAGAAAGUCGUCGGCUUCUCCCCGCACUCUGACGCUGAUCUCCUGACCCUCGUCCUCCAAGUGAACCAUGUCCAAGGCCUGCAGAUCAAGAGGAACGGCAGCUGGUUCCCCGUCAGGCCUGUCGAGGGCGCUCUCAUCGUCAACAUUGGGGAUAUCUUUGAGAUCUUCACAAAUGGGAGGUACAGGAGCAUCGAGCACCGUGCGGUCGUCGACCCCAAGGAGGAACGGUUGUCGGCCGCGGCGUUCCACUCCCCGAACAUCCACGCCACGAUAGGCCCGCUGAAGGAGCUUACGGCGGACGAAGACGAGGCCUACAAGACGGUGGACCACGAGAACUUCAUGAGGCUUUUCUUCGCGACGAAGCUGGAGGGGAAGAGCUUCUUGGAUCGGAUGAAGCUGAAGUAG
rnacentral:rRNA from 1 species